GACGGAGGAUGCAAGCGUUAUCCGGAAUUAUUGGGCGUAAAGCGUCCGCAGGCGGCUGUUCAAGUCUGCUGUCAAAGCGCAGAGCUUAACUCUGUACAGGCGGUGGAAACUGAAGAGCUAGAGUAUGGUAGGGGUAGAGGGAAUUCCCGGUGUAGCGGUGAGAUGCGCAGAUAUCGGGAGGAACACCAAUGGCGAAGGCAGCUUGCUGGGACGGUACUGACGCUGAGGCGCGAAAGCGUGGGGAGCAAACAGG
rnacentral:rRNA from 1 species